ensembl:lncRNA
UUUUGAUCCUUUAUAUUGGGCAGACAGACCAGUUCCCUACCUCCUCCCACUGCCACCUGCCUCCUCCAUUUUUGAGGCCUACAACCGUGGUGUCGUCAGCCAACUUGAUGAUGGAGUUGGUGUCGUGCAAAGCCACACGGUCCUGGGUCCAGGGAGUACAGCAGAGGACUGAGGACACACCCCUGGGGACCCCUGUGUUAAGAGUCCGUGUGGAGGAGGUGUUGUUGCCAAUCCUCCAUCUCCAUUCAAGAGCCAGUGGGUCCUCUCAUCGCUCAAGAAUGUUCACAGUACCUCUGACUACAAUGAAUAUGACAUGCCACAGUAGACUAAAGGAAAAUCCUCAACCGUGCCCUCAGUUUAAGGCAACGUGCCACCUUUCUGUGCCACCGGGCAGUUUGACUUUGGUAGCGGGGGGCAUCUAAUGGAAAUGAUCUCACUCUUCUGUCACCACCCGAUGUCACAGGAAGGCCAAAGAGAUCAUCAAGGACAACAACCACCCGAGUCACUGCCUGUUCACCCCGCUAUCAUCCAGAAGGCGAGGUCAGUACAGGUGCAUCAAAGCUGGGACCGAUAGACUGAAAAAGUGCUUCUAUCUCAAGGCCAUCAGACUGUCAAAUAGCCAUCACUAGCACAUUAGAGGCUGCUGUUCUACAUACAUAGACUUGAAAUCUCUGGCCACUUUAAUAAUGUUUGCAUAUUUUGCAUUACUCAUCUCAUUAUACUGUAUUAUAUCCUAUUCUACUGUAUCUUAGUCUAUGCCGCUCUGACGUUGCUCGCCCAAAUAUUUAUAUAUUCUUAAUGCCAUUCAUUUACUUUAGAUUUGUGUGUAUUGUUGUGAAAUUGUUAGAUAUUACUUGUUAGAUGUUACUGCACUGCUAGAGCUAGAAACACAAUCAUUUUGCUCACCUGCAAUAACAUCUGCUAAACACGUGUAUGUGACAAAUAGACAUGAGAGAAUUAGUGCUUCUG